GGAAAGUGCCACAGAAAUCAAACCACCCGCGCGUGCGCGGGCCAGGGUGAAACGGUGGGGUAAGAGCCCACCGCGCGACCGGCAACGGAAGCGGCACGGCAAACCCCACCGGGAGCAAAGUCGAAUAGGGACGGCCUCUUUCGGGAAAGCCCUGUCUUCGGGCCGCCGUCCGGGUUGACUGCUUGAGGCGCCGGGUAACCGGCGUCCCAGAUGAAUGGCCGCCGCGCGGGAGCAAUCCCGCCGUACAGAACCCGGCUUACAGGCCGGCUGGUAAC
rnacentral:RNase_P_RNA from 1 species